UACGAAGGGUGCAAGCGUUACUCGGAAUUACUGGGCGUAAAGCGUGCGUAGGCGGUUUGUUAAGUCCGUUGUGAAAGCCCUGGGCUCAACCUGGGAAUUGCAGUGGAUACUGGCGAGCUAGAGUGCGGUAGAGGAUGGUGGAAUUCCCGGUGUAGCGGUGAAAUGCGUAGAGAUCCGGAGGAACCCCAGAGGCGAAGGCGGCGCCCUGGCUCGCAACUGACGCUCAGACACGACAGCAUGGGGAGCGAACGGG
rnacentral:rRNA from 1 species